AUGGCCAAGAGAAACCUCCUCCUCCUCCUGGCGCUAAUGGCGCUCGCCACAAGCAUGGAAGCCGCGUCGGCUACCACGAGCACGAGGAAGCUCAUGUUCCUGGUCCAGCCCAAGCCGAACCUCCUCACGUACCACAACGGCGCCGUGCUGCACGGCGACAUCCCCGUCUCCGUCCUCUGGUAUGGCCGCUUCACGGCGGCGCAGAAGGCCAUCGUAUCCGACUUCCUCCUCUCCCUCUCCUCCGCGCCGCGCGCGUCCCCGGCGCCGUCCGUGUCCCAGUGGUGGAGCAGCAUCCACCAGCUGUACCUCUCCAAGGCGGCGGCCGUCGGCAAGCACGGCGCCGGCGCCACCAAGGCCGCCCGGGUGGUCCUGUCCGGCCAGGUCUCCGACGAGGCGUGCUCGCUCGGGAAGAGCCUGAAGCUGUCCCAGCUCCCGGCGCUGGCGGCGAAGGCGAGGCCCGCCAAGGGCGGCAUCGCGCUGGUGCUCACAGCGCAGGACGUGGGCGUGGAGGGCUUCUGCAUGAGCCGGUGCGGCCGGCACGGGACCGUGGACGCCAAGUCCGGCACGGCCUACGUGUGGGCCGGCAACCCGGCGACGCAGUGCGCCGGGCAGUGCGCGUGGCCGUUCCACCAGCCGGCGUACGGGCCGCAGGCGCCGCCGCUGGCCGCGCCGAACGGCGACGUGGGCAUGGACGGGCUCAUCAUCAACGUGGCGAGCAUGGUGGCCGGCGCGGUGACCAACCCGUUCGGCGACGGGUUCUACCAGGGGGAGCGCGAGGCGCCGCUGGAGGCCGCGACGGCGUGCCCGGGGGUGUACGGCAAGGGCGCGUACCCCGGGUACGCCGGCCAGCUGCUGGUGGACGGCGCCACCGGAGCGAGCUACAACGCCCACGGUGCGCACGGGAGGAAGUACCUGCUCCCGGCGCUGUUCGACCCCGCCACCUCGGCCUGCUCCACGCUGGUGUAG
rnacentral:rRNA from 1 species